UCUUUGAACAAGGAAUAGAGUCAUGUGCAGAAGCCUCCGGUGUCCUACGAGGGCAACCUGCGGAGGAGAAGAAAACCAAGGGGAGACCUCAAAAGCAAUAGCAGGAAAAGAGAAUGGCUUUGUCUGAGCCCAGCAGCAGAAGCAGUGGCACAGGGAAGGUAGUGAGGUUUAUGCAAUGAUCCUUGGAAAUGUUGCAUCUUCAGUGAGAGAGAAGAGGAAAGAGAUGGUAGUGUUUACUGCCAGCUUCACCUGGAGCCCUUGGUACCAGCCAUGGCCUCAGACUGUGGAGCAAAUGCCUGACAAGGAUCAAGAGCACAAACAUCUGCUCUCAAACUGCUCAGGAAGUCGAUGUGAGGAAUGGAGAAAACAUCCCAAGUGGUCAAAAAUAGCUCAAUAGAAGAAGAAAAACUACAACUUACACAUGAUGUGCCUGCAGUCGAUAUCCUGAAAAUUUGGACAUUCCCUGCGAAAUCCUGGUUCCAGUGGAGUUAAGGAAAUGUUCCUGUUGAGGUGAUUCUCCUAUAUGGGAUGUUCUCCUGUCAUUCAAUUGAAGUGAAAGUGACAGUCCUGUCUAGUGAUCUUAUUUCAAGAAUUGGGAUGCCAAGUCCUUUUCCAUUGGUGUUGGAGCUAAUUUCUGCUGAGACCGUAAUAACACAUGAAGUCAAGGUGGUGUUACUGCCUGAAAGGAAGAAUACACAGAAUAAAAAGGUAUUGAAGAACCUGUAUAGAUACAUUUUUUCUUCAGAAAUGAUUUUGUUGUUCUUUUGGGCUGCAGCUGGAAGGAAGUG